rnacentral:rRNA from 1 species
UAAAAGGGGGCUGCGUUGCUCGGAUUCUGGGCGUAAAGGGAGCGUAGGCGGACAUUUAAGUAGGGGUGAAAUCCCAGAGCUCAACUCUGGAACUGCCUUUGAUACUGGAUGUCUUGAGUGUGAGAGAGGUAUGUGGAACUCCGAGUGUAGAGGUGAAAUUCGUAGAUAUUCGGAAGAACACCAGUGGCGAAGGCGACAUACUGGCUCAUUACUGACGCUGAGGCUCGAAAGCGUGGGGAGCAAACAGGAUUAGAUACCCUGGUAGUCCACGCCGUAAACGAUGAUUGCUAGUUGUCGGGAUGUUUACAUCUCGGUGACGCAGCUAACGCAUUAAGCAAUCCGCCUGGGGAGUACGGUCGCAAGAUUAAAA